AUGGGGAGUGAUGGAUGCUCCGUGCCAAGGGCUCAGGGCUCAGCCCCACAAAGAGUUUACUUUGUCUCUCUCCCUCUCUCUCUCUCUCUCUCUCCUCCUCUCCCACUUCUUGUCAUACCAGAUGGUUGUGCAAUGGUAAUUUGGUGCCAUUAGGCGGCGCAGAAUUUGAAAAAAAAAAAAAAAAUUAAAAAAAAAAAAAAAAAAAAAAAAGAAAAAAGAAAAAAGAAUAAAGAGAAUUUAAAAAAAAAAAAAGACAUUAAAAUGGAGGAAAGGAAAAGAAAUAAGUUAUUUUCAAAACCUUUAUAUUCUCAUGUUGUGGAGGGUUCUAUAAAGUUUUUCAUCAAAGCUUGGCUUCAAGGAAACAAGAAAAAAAUUCUUGAAGGCGAUGGCGGCGUGGGCCCCGUUAUCGCCGACAUUGUCCUUGGCGCGGGGCCGGCGACGACCUUGUUGGUGGGCAAGGAGGGAAUUUGGCGGGAACUUUUUCAAACGGCGUGACGUCGCUCCGGCGGGCCCCCGAGGCAUUGUGGGAGUUGUAGUUCCCCCGCCGGAAAAGGGGGCCCGCCAUCGAGCCCUCAGGGGAUGUGCGCCGCCUUCUCACCUACCUUCUCUUCUUCCCCCCCACCCCUUUGAAAAGAGGAAUGAGGCGGGAAAAAAAAAAUAUAUAAAAAAGGGAAUUCAGCACCGGGAUGAGGAAUUUGGGGCGAUAACNNNNNNNNNNNNNNNNNNNNNNNNNNNNNNNNNNNNNNNNNNNNCCCCAGGACAGGGGGCGGCGGGUCCGGGCCGAAGCCCCGCGGGUGGGGUGGCGAUGGCGGCGUGGGCCCCGUUAUCGCCGACAUUGUCCUUGGCGCGGGGCCGGCGACGACCUUGUUGGUGGGCAAGGAGGGAAUUUGGCGGGAACUUUUUCAAACGGCGUGACGUCGCUCCGGCGGGCCCCCGAGGCAUUGUGGGAGUUGUAGUUCCCCCGCCGGAAAAGGGGGCCCGCCAUCGAGCCCUCAGGGGAUGUGCGCCGCCUUCUCACCUACCUUCUCUUCUUCCCCCCCACCCCUUUUUUUGUUUCUUUUUUGUUUUUUUUUUAACAGGCUCCAGCGGAAGGGGAGGCGAAGGAGGAGCCAAAGAGAAGGUCAGCUAGACUAUCCGCU
rnacentral:lncRNA from 1 species